GGGAGGCAGCAGUGAGGAAUAUUGCGCAAUGGGGGCAACCCUGACGCAGCAACGCCGCGUGUGGGAAGAAGGCUUUCGGGUUGUAAACCACUUUUGCCCGGGACGAAAGGGGGGACCUGAAUAAGGUUGCCCGAUGACGGUACCGGGAGAAUAAGCCACGGCUAACUCUGUGCCAGCAGCCGCGGUAAGACAGAGGUGGCAAGCGUUGUUCGGAGUUACUGGGCGUAAAGAGUCUGUAGGUGGUCUGUCAAGUCUUUGGUGAAAGGCCGUGGCUUAACCAUGGGAAUGCCAAAGAGACUGGCAGACUGGAGGCUGGGAGAGGGAAGCGGAAUUUCUGGUGUAGCGGUGAAAUGCGUAGAUAUCAGAAGGAAGGCCGGUGGCGAAGGCGGCUUCCUGGAACAGACCUGACACUGAGAGACGAAAGCGUGGGGAGCAAACAGGAUUAGAUACCCUGGUAGUCCACGCCCUAAACGAUGGGUACUAAGUGUGGGAGGGUUAAACCUCCCGUGCCGCAGCCAACGCAGUAAGUACCCCGCCUGGGGAGUACGGCCGCAA
rnacentral:rRNA from 1 species